rnacentral:tRNA from 1 species
CAUUAAGAAGCUAAACAAGCAUUAACCUUUUAAGUUAAAGAUUGGGAGCUCAACCUCUCCUUAAUGA